rnacentral:tRNA from 1 species
GUAUGGAUAGCUCAGUUGAUAGAGCAUCAGAUUUUUAAUCUGAGGGUCCAAGGUUCAAGUCUUUGUUCAGAAG